rnacentral:rRNA from 1 species
GAUGAACGCUGGCGGCGUGCCUAAUACAUGCAGGUCGAGCGAACGGACGAGAAGCUUGCUUCUCUGAUGUUAGCGGCGGACGGGUGAGUAACACGUGGAUAACCUACCUAUCAGACUGGGAUAACUUCGGGAAACCGUAGCUAAUACCGGAUAAUAUUUUGAACCGCAUGGUUCAAAAGUGAAAGACGGUCUUGCUGUCACUUAUAGAUGGUUCCGCGCUGCAUUAGCUAGUUGGUAAGGUAACGGCUUACCAAGGCAACGAUGCAUAGCCGACCUGAGAGGGUGAUCGCCCACACUGGAACUGAGACACGGUCCAGACUCCUACGGGAGGCAGCAGUAGGGAAUCUUCCGCAAUGGGCGAAAGCCUGACGGAGCAACGCCGCGUGAGUGAUGAAGGUCUUCGGAUCGUAAAACUCUGUUAUUAGGGAAGAACAUAUGUGUAAGGAACUGUGCACAUCUUGACGGUACCUAAUCAGAAAGCCACGGCUAACUACGUG